AUUGAACGCUGGCGGCAUGCCUUACACAUGCAAGUCGAACGGCAGCACGGGAGCAAUCCUGGUGGCGAGCGGCGAACGGGUGAGUAAUAUAUCGGAACGUGCCCAGUCGUGGGGGAUAACGUAGCGAAAGCUACGCUAAUACCGCAUACGAUCUAUGGAUGAAAGCGGGGGAUCGCAAGACCUCGCGCGAUUGGAGCGGCCGAUAUCAGAUUAGGUAGUUGGUGGGGUAAAGGCUCACCAAGCCGACGAUCUGUAGCUGGUCUGAGAGGACGACCAGCCACACUGGGACUGAGACACGGCCCAGACUCCUACGGGAGGCAGCAGUGGGGAAUUUUGGACAAUGGGCGCAAGCCUGAUCCAGCAAUGCCGCGUGCAGGAUGAAGGCCUUCGGGUUGUAAACUGCUUUUGUACGGAGCGAAAAGGCUCUCUCUAAUACAGGGGGCUUAUGACGGUACCGUAAGAAUAAGCACCGGCUAACUACGUGCCAGCCGCCGCGGUAA
rnacentral:rRNA from 1 species